GAUGAACGCUGGCGGCGUGCCUAAUACAUGCAAGUCGAGCGAACAGACGAGGAGCUUGCUCCUCUGACGUUAGCGGCGGACGGGUGAGUAACACGUGGAUAACCUACCUAUAAGACUGGGAUAACUUCGGGAAACCGGAGCUAAUACCGGAUAAUAUAUUGAACCGCAUGGUUCAAUAGUGAAAGACGGUUUUGCUGUCACUUAUAGAUGGAUCCGCGCCGCAUUAGCUAGUUGGUAAGUUAACGGCUUACCAAGGCAACGAUGCGUAGCCGACCUGAGAGGGUGAUCGGCCACACUGGAACUGAGACACGGUCCAGACUCCUACGGGAGGCAGCAGUAGGGAAUCUUCCGCAAUGGGCGAAAGCUUGACGGAGCAACGCCGCGUGAGUGAUGAAGGUCUUCGGAUCGUAAAACUCUGUUAUUAGGGAAGAACAAAUGUGUAAGUAACCAUGCACGUCUUGACGGUACCUAAUCAGAAAGCCACGGCUAACUACGUG
rnacentral:rRNA from 1 species